rnacentral:rRNA from 1 species
CCUACGGGCGGCAGCAGUGGGGGAUAUUGCACAAUGGGGGGAACCCUGAUGCAGUGACGCCGCGUGGGUGAAGAAGCGCCUCGGCGCGUAAAGCCCUGUCAGCAGGGAAGAAAAUGACGGUAGCUGAAGAAGAAGCCCCGGCUAACUACGGGCAAGCAGCCGCGGUAAUACGGAGGGGGCAAGCGUUAGCCGGAUUUACUGGGUGGAAAGGGGGCGCCGAGGGCGAUGCAAGCCAGGAGUGAAAGCCCGGGGCCCACCCCCGGGACUGCUCUUGGAACUGCGUGGCUGGAGUGCAGGAGGGGCAGGCGGAAUUCCUGGUGUAGCGGUGACAUGCGUAGAUAUCAGGAGGAACACCGGUGGCGAAGGCGGCCUGCUGGACUGCGACUGACGUUGAGGCCCGAAAGCGUGGGGAGCAAACAGGAUUAGAUACCCUGGUAGUC